AAAAAUGUUGAAUAUCAACAAUGGGUUUCAGUGCUGUAUUGUUGAGUUUUGUAUGAACUAAUCUAGCUUCUCUAAAAAAAAAAAAAAAAAAAAAAAAAAGAAAGAAAAGAAAGAAAGAAAAGAAAGAAAGAAAGAAAAAAAAAGAAAAGAAAAAAAAGAGAACCACAGCUUUGGACAAAAGUCUAUAGCCAGUGCAUUUGAAAACUCCCCUUGCACCAGGGCUGACUGUAGCUGGGGGAAGACAUUUUACUCAUUUGCUCUUUCCUUUCAUACAGUCAGCUGGUCCCUCUUCUCAGGUGUAGAUCACCUAUUAUAAUUUUACCUAAUUUUGAUACUCUGAUAAGGAAAGUCCCAGGACUUAUCAGCUGGGAUAGGCCUCACUUACAAGACAGCUCUGUUCAGUAUUUGGAAGAAAGCCUGACAGGUUUCUUCGGAAAAGUGGCCAUCCAUGGAAUGAAUGAAAUGUUCUCUUUCUAUUCCAGGGAUUGCAGUGGCAAAGCUAGGCUAGGUCUUGGAGGCUGGUGUAAGGCGAUGUGGGUGAAGGCAGGAGGCUGAUGGAAAGACUGGGGGGAAGAAAAGCCGAAAUGGAUUCACGGUGCCUUGGAUGAAGGACGAGAGGGGAACUGCAAGCUCCUUCAACUGGUUCUGUCCGGUGAGAAGUGAUCAAGCUUGGGCUGACAAGAGGCUCAGGGAGCCCUCACGUUCUUUCGCUUUUUUACCUGCCAAUCAAACUGCUACAAGACAACACCCUGAUCUGGCAUGGACAUCGCGGGUCCAAGCCUGUAGCCCCAAAUCGGAUAAUCUCUGCAGCUGAUAACAAGCAAAAGAGAAGCCAGGCAACAGCCAUAUUAAAGAAGAAAACAAUCAACUCUGAGAUCCAACUUAGAAAUAAUGUUUCAUUCAAGAUAAGGCUCGUGGCUUAGGAGAUUGUGACCUGGCUUGCAUCAUUCUAAGACUUCUAUCGUCUGUUUUCAAAACCCAAGGAGGACCUCCUUUUCUGUGUGAUAGUUCCUCAUGCUUUGCCAGCCACUGGGUCUUUAAGGAAGCUUGCCAAGAGUUCCCGGCUGGGAAGGACAGUUCGAGUUCAUCAUAGACAAUGAGCUGGCACCACAGUUUAAGUGACUCACCAACCUGGUUGCCCACUUCAAAAUGUCAAGAACCACACUAUCUAAUUGAAAGAACUGUGUUUUAGCAAAGUGUAAUUGGAUCGCCUGGCAAGAUCAUCUCAAACUAUGUCUCUGACCUUGCCUUUCAGUGGCUAUUUUGAGCACAAGAGGAGAAAGGAAAUGAUUCCUGAAUUAUAUCUUGUUUUUAAAAAUUAAGAUUAAUUAAUACUUGGUUUUAUGUUCAUUCCAUUGUAGGAACUUAGUGAUUAUUACAAAACAGUCAAAAUAGGUCAUAGCAAAAUGAACGUUUAAGAUUAGGUUAAAACAUUCCUCUGAAAUUUUAGUAUUCACUUUUGAAGUGUCAAUUACUAUAUUUCUGUAAUUUCUCAUUUUUUUCUUGGCUUAGAGUCAAGAUGAAAAAUGAUAUUUGAAUCAAAGACAUUGUUUUGUUAUAUAGCCACUCCUUUCUAAAAUGCAAAUCCACCCUCCCCUCACCAAUGCUUUAUUCUUUGUGCGCGCACACACACACACACACACACACACACACACACACACACACAGACAUACACAGAACCAGCACCCAAAUGGUAGAGGAGGUCCUUCCAAGACUUCUAGGACCUGGAUCAUGUAAGCAGUAGAUGAGAAAAUGAAGUAAGAGAUAUAGAGUAAUAACAAUAAAAGUCAAUGAUUUCAUUUUACAAAAAAGUCAUUGUGUAGUACUCAGAUAUUUUUAAGAGCAAGUAUUAUUAUGACUAAAGUAUAUUAUACUUCUAAAUUAUUAUGAUUCUCAUCUAAUUUCAAGCCACACAUAGGCGCCAUUUGAAAGCAUUUUGUGUUACAACCUAUCAACAAAAAUCAACUAAUAGUUUUAUAACGUGCAUAGGUUUACCCCAUGGGGAAUUAAAAUUUUUAUCUGCAAGUAUUUCUGUUGUUGUGAGACUUUAGGACAAGACAACAUUUGGUGUUAACAUAGAAGAAUAUUCUAUGGCUUUUUUAGCUUUAAAGUUCAUUACUCUAAAAUAAAGUACACGUGGUAUUUUUUUCUUCCUAGUGUUCUCUUAUUAUAUGUAGAGUAUUUUCGGUUGUUGUUUUUAACGUAUACAUUAUUUUUAUUAAGUCAUUUCAUAAAAGAUAAGAUAUAUACUAAUAGACCCUUGGUUUUCUCCUAAUUUAAUUAUUUCAAGUCAAGCAAAAUUGGGCAAUUUUCUUUCAGGAAAAAAAAAAUAUUGAGCAUGAUUUUGAGGUAAAACUGAUUAUUUACAGCAUCUUUUCUCUAAUAGGCUAACAUUUAUGAUGGAUCUUAUUUCAAAGUUGAUUAUUCUCAAAGAAAAGUGGAGAUAUUAGAAUUUCCGAGUAAAUUGCAUUGUUUUAAAAAGUACUUUAAUGCAUUGUUCACAUUGUUGCCAGCUAUUGACCAAAAAAGAGAAGAAGAAAAAAGAAAUAAAAAAAGCAGUAUCUGCUCCAAACGUCAAGUUUUGCAGUUUGAAAGACUUGUACAUUAUAAUUGUUUUUUUCUUUUUUGGAAAGCAGUAGUAAUUAAUACCAAAGGCAUAGACAAUUUAGGGCCAUAACCUCCCUUCCCCCCUCUCCACCUUUUUUUUUUUUUUUUUUUUUUUUUAACUUUAACCAUGAUAGGCAUCUCUGCAAGGUAGGUUUUAACAUAUUUUUUUCCUAAUUUUUUUCCCUCCAUUCAGUAAGAAGGAUAAGCUUUUAGAGUACCCAGUCACCGUGGUAACUGCCAAAAAAAUUCUCCUGAAGUUUGAAGAGGUCAGCUAGCAGGGUCAACAACCCUGGCCUCUCUCUGAGCUCGGUCUAGCAUGCCCCAGCCUGCGGUUGGAGUGUCAGGCCAGAUCUGACCCUGGGAGGUGGACCAUUCUGGCUCUGAUAUAAAUUUUUCGAGUCAGUUCAUGGCCUGGACUCUCCAGGUGGCCUCCAAAAUCGAUUUUGACCCCCUGACCCUGUCUCACGGAGGCAUAGCAUCCACCCUAAGUAAGGAUUUAGCCAGGAAUGACAGCUUUCCACUGAGUGUUAUUGGGGACAGUAUAAACAGUUUGGAAAGCAAGUAAGGAGGUGUGAGGGCUAGCAAUCAUUAAAAGCACAUUAAAAAACAAUUUUUAAAAAUCUUUAUUAGAGAAAGUUGUAAAUGCAUAUCUGUUACAGAAUUCCUGUGAUUUGUAGAGUUUUCUAGUCAGUUUUGAAUAUAAAUAGGUCACAUAUCUUUAUCUUUUUGCAUACUUUGUUACAAAUAUGCAAAUAAGAUAGGCAUACUUGCUACAAAAUAGGUACAGCAGGAAUGUAAUAUGUUCAGAAAAGGCAAACUGGUUAUUAAAACACAUUAACAGGUAAGGAGUUUCUAAUAUUUUAAAUACUAAAAUUUUACAUGUGUAUUUUGAAGUUUUUAAAAUGGAAAAAUAAAGAACCUUUAAAAA
rnacentral:lncRNA from 1 species